GACGAACGCUGGCGGCGUGCCUAAUAUAUGCAAGUCGAACGAAGCUGUUUUAACUGGUGCUUGCACCGACUUAAACAACUGAGUGGCGAACGGGUGAGUAACACGUGGGUAACCUGCCCCAAAGCGGGGGAUAACAUUUGGAAACAGAUGCUAAUACCGCAUAACCACAGAAACCACAUGGUUUCUGUGUCAAAGAUGGUUUCGGCUAUCACUUUGGGAUGGACCCGCGGCGUAUUAGCUAGUUGGUAAGGUAAUGGCUUACCAAGGCAAUGAUACGUAGCCGAACUGAGAGGUUGAUCGGCCACAUUGGGACUGAGACACGGCCCAAACUCCUACGGGAGGCAGCAGUAGGGUAUCUUCCACAAUGGACGAAAGUCUGAUGGAGCAACGCCGCGUGAGUGAAGAAGGUUUUCGGAUCGUAAAACUCUGUUGUCAGAGAAGAACGUGUGCGAGAGUAACUGUUCGUGCAGUGACGGUAUCUGGCCAGAAAGCCACGGCUAACUACGUGCCAGCCGCCGCAGUAA
rnacentral:rRNA from 1 species